rnacentral:rRNA from 1 species
CCUACGGGGGGCUGCAGUGGGGAAUAUUGCACAAUGGGCGCAAGCCUGAUGCAGCCAUGCCGCGUGUGUGAAGAAGGCCUUCGGGUUGUAAAGCACUUUCAGCGGGGAGGAAGGCGGUGAGGUUAAUAACCUCAUCGAUUGACGUUACCCGCAGAAGAAGCACCGGCUAACUCCGUGCCAGCCGCCGCGGUAAUACGGAGGGUGCAAGCGUUAAUCGGAAUUACUGGGCGUAAAGCGCACGCAGGCGGUCUGUCAAGUCGGAUGUGAAAUCCCCGGGCUCAACCUGGGAACUGCAUUCGAAACUGGCAGGCUAGAGUCUUGUAGAGGGGGGUAGAAUUCCAGGUGUAGCGGUGAAAUGCGUAGAGAUCUGGAGGAAUACCGGUGGCGAAGGCGGCCCCCUGGACAAAGACUGACGCUCAGGUGCGAAAGCGUGGGGAGCAAACAGGAUUAGAUACCCGUGUAGUC